UACGUAGGGGGCAAGCGUUGUCCGGAUUUACUGGGUGUAAAGGGCGCGCAGGCGGAUUAGCAAGUCAGAGGUGAAAUCCUACAGCUUAACUGUAGAACUGCCUUUGAAACUGUUAAUCUUGAGUACGGAAGAGAGAAGCGGAAUUCCAGGUGUAGUGGUGAAAUACGUAGAUAUCUGGAAGAACACCAGUUGCGAAGGCGGCUUCUUGGUCCGUUACUGACGCUGAGGCGCGAAAGCGUGGGGAGCAGACAGG
rnacentral:misc_RNA from 1 species